rnacentral:rRNA from 1 species
GAUGAACGCUGGCGGCGUGCCUAAUACAUGCAAGUCGAGCGAACGGACGAGAAGCUUGCUCUUCUGAUGUUAGCGGCGGACGGGUGAGUAACACGUGGAUAACCUACCUAUAAGACAGGGAUAACUUCGGCAAACCGAGGCUAAUACCGGAUAAUAUUUUGAACCUCAUGGUUCAAAAGUGAAAGACGGUCUUUCUGUCACUUAUAGCUGGAUCCGCGCUGCAUUAGUUAGUUGGUAGGGUAACGGCUUACCAAGGCAACGAUGCAUAGCCGACCGUAGAGGGAGAUCGGUCACACUGCAACUAAGACACGCUCCAGACACAUACGGGAGGCAGGCAGAAGGAAUCUACGGCAGUGAGCGAGAGGGUGACGGAGCAACGCCGCGAGAGUGAUGAAGGUCUGCGGAUCGUAAAACUAUGUUAUUAUAGGAGAGCAGAUGUGGAAGUAACUGUGCACAACUGGACGGAACGUAAGAAGAAGGCCACGCUAAACCACUG